AACUAAAUGGGGCUUUUAUAAAAAAGAGUUUGCAUCGUGGAUCUGCCAACUCACCGCUUUUGCAGAAUCACCGUCUUCAAGAUCCCAGAUCAGGCGCGGCAGCGACAGGUGCGUCUGGUAGUGGUUCUGGUCCCGCUCCCAGGUUUGCUCCUCCUGCUUCUGGACGACGUGCUCCAUCUCAACCCCAGCCAACGGUCGUCUCUUCCGGGGAUAAUCACCAAAAUCAGGACGUCCCUGCUUCGACGGCCCCGUCUCAGCAGAAAAGAACCCGACGAGGUGAAAAUUCAUCAAAACGACACGGACGUCCAGCUUCAAAUGCUAUUUUUUUAUUUUAGCUAACUCAAGCUACGCCAUCUGGUCAAAGCCGACGCGUGUCUGUCAGUGAAAAUCCACAGAAUACAGGAUGUUCUGAUGAUUUUUCUCCGGCCCUCAUGAAAUGCCGCUGUUUGGAUGCUCACAGCAAGACCGUGGACUUGUGUGUUAGAAUAUUGGACGAAAUGUAAGAUUUUUUUCUGCUCAUUGUACCUUGAAAAAAUGUCAGAACCUCCUUUGUCACUUGACGUAAUAAAUCACCUUCAA